CCCAUGAAACCGUGAGAUCCUGACCUGAACUGAAACCAAAAGUUGGAUGCUUAACCGACUGAGCCACCCAGACGCCCCAGAUCAUAGUGAGCUUUUAAAAAAAGUCACUUGGGUUACGUGGCUAUAUAGAUCGAGAUGAAAGGCAACCUUUGUUCCCAAUGUUUAUUGUGAUCUGACUUGAGCUCUGAGUUGCACCUUAUAGCUUCCAUUUUCUCAGCGGUGAUAGCACUGGUGAGAGGAAGGUGGAGUUUGUGGCAAUGUGAAAUUUCAGAUUCAGGGUUACAGAUGUCCUCUAGCUGGCUCCUCUGGGCUUGCUCAACAGCAGCAUAUGUACCCACAGAUGCGAGUAGACCUGAGCCUACACGGAUGGGUCACCACUUUUUUCUCGCUUCCCACGCAGGAGAUCUGGGUCUGCUUUCUAGCAAAUCCUUUAAUAUGGCAACAUGGAGAGUGCACAGGCUUUUGGAAUCAGACGAAUUUUUGUUCCAUUUCCACCAUGCGCUAGUUUUGCAAUCGUGGGAAAUGGGCUUAAAUGAUCUGAGCCUCAGUUUGUUCAUGUAACAUGGUGCAAAUAAUUGCCAUGAUGAUUACAAUGAGACAAAGUCUGUACUUUGCUUAUUAGUGGCAGAUAUGUAAUAUGUUCUAGACAAAGAGAGUCCUUUUGCUCUUUCUACUGGAGUUACACAUGAUUAGAUUUAAUUGUAAAGAAAUCUCACUAUGGACAAGUGCAUUAGUCUUCUUUUGCUGCAGUAACAAAUAGCCCCCAAAGCUCAGUGGCUGAAAAUCACGUACACUUAAUUUCUGGCUCAUGUUAUCUGAGGGCUGAAUUAAUGCUGCCUUUCCUGGGCUUCCCUGGGUUAUGUUCUGCUUUGUGUCCUCUCACCUCGGGAUCCCAGCUGAAGAAACAUGCUGUUCUCAUGGUGAAGGACAGAAACUCCAGAGAGCGGAGCCAAUCUGUAAGGCAUAUUUAAAGUUUCUGCUUGGACAUCGUGUGUAUCACAUCUGCCCACAUCCAUUGUCAUACGGCCAAGGCCAAAGUCAAUUGAUGGUCACUUGCCGUUCAUCCCUUUUUACUCAUCUAAACGUGGGCUUGCUUCGGCCUCUCUUCUCCUUGGACACUCUUUUCUCCAGGUAAUCUCAUACGGAACUCUGGCUUCAGCAGACUUCUCACCGAGGAAUCCUGUGUCAACAUUUGCAACUGAGAUGCCACGGAACUGUCCACUCAUAUCGCCAGCCUGGCGUCUCUCCUGUGCUGCCGUAUGAAUCUCAAGGGCCGUCUUCUUUGCACCGAGCGACAGAUGAUAUUGGUAGUGAAAACACAAAACACGGAGUCAAGAAGAACUGGUCGCUGCACAUGUCGGUCCUGCCGGGCACUAACAAGGCAAGGAAGCUGAAUAGAAAAACAACUUUCCUAAGCUCAAAGAAUGAAUGGCAAAGCCAGCAACCGUUGACUCGUCGAUGCCUGAGGCUGACUCUCAACCUGAGCCCUUCUCCACAAGACCCCAAGUGUCCAAGUAUCAGAGGCAGGCUCACUAACCUGUCGUGGGGCUCAAAUAGCCCCUGCUUCAUGGAUCACGCUGUCUACCUUCCUGGAGAGCUUGCUUCAGAUAAAUGUCUCUCCACUUCCCAAACUAGGAAGGAUGGAAAGGUAUUUACACUUUCAGUAACCUGCGUAUGGAUCCCACUGCUAUUUAAUUAAGACUUAAACCUAUAAAGAUGCACAUUUAAUACUCAGAGUAAACCCUUGACUUGUUUCCUUUGAAGAUAAACAGACACGAAGAGAGAUCUCUUAUUUCUCAUCGGAGGGAGAUACAAAAGAAGGUUGCUGGCAGACAGAGCCAAUUCUUAACCACUGAGAGGAGAGGCUAGCUGAAGACCUAACAUCCUAAGGAAGGCUCUCCAGAUGAGGUCUGGAGUCUGAUGGAGCCCCUAAAAGGAUACUGUCCCUAAAAACUGGUAGCAGAGAGAGAAGUGUGGAAGAAGGAAAAUAAGAUGAAAAUACGUUCUUCGAAGUUAGGGAGUUCUGUCUCCUUCAUUUUUGAGUGAUUUAGGGAGUUUCGUACAGAGAGCAGGAAGCAGUGGGUGUACAAGAUGUACUGGUUGGUUGAAUUAGGGAGAGAACAGACCAGAGAAACACCCUUUGGUUAGUCAAGAGUUAACACGGUUCUCUUGAAGAGAGUAAUUGGCGGUGGCUGAGUUAUAGUAACACUGCACAUUCCCUGCUAAGUGCACAUUUCCUGUUCAGGACGUGGAUUUGAUGGGGCCUUUUAAAAGUAGGUGACUUAGGCGGUUCUUUUUAUUGGGGGGAAAAUCAAGAUAAUAUGGUCUGGCUUUGGAACCUAAUUUCCCAUUAUUCCUCAUCAAGGGCCUUCAUCCAGGCCACGCACGUCUACUCGUGAUUCUCCAAAUCUAAACAGACUGCACAGAUCCUGCCUCUGAACCUUUGUUUAUGUUGUUCCUUCCAAAGGCUGCACCCUGUCCUCUCCCCUCUCCUGAGAUCCUACUCUCCUUCAAGACCUGAGUCUAG